rnacentral:rRNA from 1 species
UACGGAGGGUGCAAGCGUUAUCCGGAUUCACUGGGUUUAAAGGGUGCGUAGGCGGGCAGAUAAGUCAGUGGUGAAAUCUCCGAGCUUAACUCGGAAACUGCCGUUGAUACUAUUUGUCUUGAAUACUGUGGAGGUAAGCGGAAUAUGUCAUGUAGCGGUGAAAUGCUUAUCUAUGACAUAGAACACCAAUUGCGAAGGCAUCUUACUACACAGCGAUGCACGCUGAGGCACGAAAGCGUGGGGAUCAAACAGG